UUUCCGUAGGUGAACCUGCGGAAGGAUCAUUAUCGUAAAACCGAGGUGCGAGGGCUGUCGCUGACCUUUUCGGUCGUGCACGCCCGAGCGCCCUCACACAAUCCAUCUCACCCCUUGUGCACCACCGCGUGGGUCCCUUUCUGGCUCGUCCGGAGGGGGGCUCGCGUUUUCACACAAACUUGAAGUAGUGUAGAAUGUCCUUUUUUUGCGAUAACACGCAAUCAAUACAACUUUCAACAACGGAUCUCUUGGUUCUC
rnacentral:misc_RNA from 1 species